rnacentral:rRNA from 1 species
UUCCGGUUGAUCCUGCCGGAGGCUACCGCUAUUGGAGUUCGAUUAAGCCAUGCGAGUCGCGAGUCUUAGGGACUCGGCGUACCGCUCAGUAACACGUGGGUAACCUGCCCUAUGCUGGGGGAUAACCUCGGGAAACUGAGAAUAAUACCCCAUAGUUCACCACGCCUGGAACGGUUGGUGGACCAAAGCUCCGGCGGCAUAGGAUGGGCCUGCGGCGUAUCAGGUUGUAGGGGGUGUAAUGUACCCUCUAGCCCUCUACGCGUACGGGUGUUGAGAGACAUCGCCCGGAGAUGGAUUCUGAGACACGAAUCCAGACCCUACGGGGUGCAGCAGGCGCGAAAACUUGGCAAUGCGAGAAAUCGUGACCAGGGAACUCCAAGUGCAUCGGUUAAGACCGAUGCUUUUCUUGACUCUUCAAAGGUCUUGGAAUAAGGGGUGGGUAAGGACGGUGCCAGCCGCCGCGGUAAUACCGGCGCCCCAAGUGGUAGUCGCUUUUAUUGGGCCUAAAACGUCCGUAGCCGGUCUGGUACAUUCGUGGGUAAAUCAACCAGCUCAACUGGUUGAAUUCUGCGAGCACGGCCAGACUUGGGACCGGGAGAGGUGUGGGGUACUCUCAGGGUAGGGGUAAAAUCCUGUCAUCCUGAGAGGACCACCUGUUGCGAAGGCGCCACACUAGAACGGAUCCGACGGUCAGGGACGAAGCCUAGGGGCACGAACCGGAUUAGAUACCCGGGUAGUCCUAGGUGUAAACGCUGUGGACUUGAUGUUGGGGGCGCUCCGAGCGCACUCAGUGUCGAAGCGAAGGUGAUAAGUCCACUGCCUGGGGAGUACGGUCGCAAGGCUGAAACUUAAAGGAAUUGGCGGGGGAGCACCGCAACCUGAGGAUUGUGCGGUUUAAUUGGAUUCAACGCCGG